CAUCAUCGAAAAAACAAAAAAGAAAAAAGAAAAGGAGAAAAGAAAGGCACAGCAUGGGCAAGAGGAAAUCAAGUACAUACUUUGGGGCACCUUUCCCAUGUAUUAUGCUUUUUGAAGAUUCAUCAACGGCAAGAUCUGCCUUAAUCGGAGCAAUAGAAGCAGAAGUUUGUAGAUUCGAAUCUGGAAUUGGAGAAGCAGCAGUAGCAG
rnacentral:misc_RNA from 1 species